rnacentral:rRNA from 1 species
GUUCGAGCGAACAGACGAGGAGCUUGCUCCUCUGACGUUAGCGGCGGACGGGUGAGUAACACGUGGAUAACCUACCUAUAAGACUGGGAUAACUUCGGGAAACCGGAGCUAAUACCGGAUAAUAUAUUGAACCGCAUGGUUCAAUAGUGAAAGACGGUUUUGCUGUCACUUAUAGAUGGAUCCGCGCCGCAUUAGCUAGUUGGUAAGGUAACGGCUUACCAAGGCAACGAUGCGUAGCCGACCUGAGAGGGUGAUCGGCCACACUGGAACUGAGACACGGUCCAGACUCCUACGGGAGGCAGCAGUAGGGAAUCUUCCGCAAUGGGCGAAAGCCUGACGGAGCAACGCCGCGUGAGUGAUGAAGGUCUUCGGAUCGUAAAACUCUGUUAUUAGGGAAGAACAAAUGUGUAAGUAACUAUGCACGUCUUGACGGUACCUAAUCAGAAAGCCACGGCUAACUACGUGCCAGCAGCCGCGGUAAUACGUAGGUGGCAAGCGUUAUCCGGAAUUAUUGGGCGUAAAGCGCGCGUAGGCGGUUUUUUAAGUCUGAUGUGAAAGCCCACGGCUCAACCGUGGAGGGUCAUUGGAAACUGGAAAACUUGAGUGCAGAAGAGGAAAGUGGAAUUCCAUGUGUAGCGGUGAAAUGCGCAGAGAUAUGGAGGAACACCAGUGGCGAAGGCGACUUUCUGGUCUGUAACUGACGCUGAUGUGCGAAAGCGUGGGGAUCAAACAGGAUUAGAUACCCUGGUAGUCCACGCCGUAAACGAUGAGUGCUAAGUGUUAGGGGGUUUCCGCCCCUUAGUGCUGCAGCUAACGCAUUAAGCACUCCGCCUGGGGAGUACGACCGCA